UUAAGCUAAGAAGAGCGUAGGGAGAAUGCCUUGGCAUUAGGAGCCGACGAAGGACGUGAUAAGCUGCGAUAAGCUGCGGGGAUCAGCAAGUAUGAAUUGAUCCGCAGAUUUCCGAAUGGAGCAAUCCGUAUGUGUAUGCACAUACAUCAUAUACUGAAUCAAAUAGGUAUAUGAGGGGAACCGCCUGAACUGAAACAUCUAAGUAGGGCGAGGAAGAGAAAUCAACCGAGAUUCUGUGAGUAGUGGCGAGCGAAAGCGGAAGAGGCUAAACCAUAGGUAGCAAUACUUAUGGGGUUUCGGACAGCAUUUAGUAUUGAUAAUUUCUAGUUGAAACGUGUGGGAAAACGUACCGAAGAGUGUGAGAGUCACGUAAGCGAAAGAGAAAGUCAGCGAGCUGUAUCCAAAGUACCGCGGGACACGUGAAACCCCGUGGGAAGAUGGGGGGACCAUCCUCCAAGCCUAAAUACUACCUAAUGACCGAUAGCGAAUAGUACUGUGAAGGAACGGUGAAAAGAACCCCGGGAGGGGAGUGAAAAAGAACCUGAAACCCUAUGCUUACAAGCACCGAGAGCACGUCAAAGUGUGAUCGGGUACCUUUUGUAGAAUGGUCCGGCGAGUUAUUGUAUGCGGCAAGGUUAAGUGCUUAAGGCACGGAGCCGAAGCGAGAGCAAGUCUGAAUAGGGCGAGUAAGUCGUAUGCAAUAGACCCGAAACCGAGUGACCUAUCCAUGUCCAGGCUGAAGUGGAGGUAAAACUCCAUGGAGGGCCGAACACACGUCCGUUGAAAAGGCCGGUGAUGAGGUGUGGAUAGCGGAGAAAUUCCAAUCGAACUCGGAUAUAGCUGGUUCUCUCCGAAAUAGCUUUAGGGCUAGCCUCGUGAAAGAUUACUGGAGGUAAAGCACUGAAUGGGCUAGGGGUCGAAAGAUUACUGAACCCUAUCAAACUAAGAAUGCCAGAUAAUUGAUUCACGGGAGUCAGACAAUGUGAGAUAAGUCUCAUUGUCAAAAGGGAAACAGCCCAGACCCACAGCUAAGGUCCCUAAACAUUGUUAAGUGGAAAAGGAUGUGGGGUUGCAUAAACAACCAGGAUGUUGGCUUAGAAGCAGCCACUCAUUAAAAGAGUGCGUAAUAGCUCACUGGUCGAGUGACCCUGCGCCGAAAAUUCAACGGGGCUAAACAAUGUACCGAAGCUUGGGAUUCUAAAGUAAUUUAGAGUGGUAGGAGAGCGUCGAAUAAGGGGUGAAGUCAGAGCGGAAGCGCUGGUGGACUUUAUUCGAGUGAGAAUGCCGGAAUGAGUAGCGAGAAUUAUGUGAGAAUCAUAAUGGCCGAAAAUCUAAGGUUUCCUGAGGAAGGUUCGUCCGCUCAGGGUAAGCCGGGGGCUAAGGCGAGGCGGAGACGCGUAGCCGAUGCACAUACGGUUGAAAUUCCGUAGCCACCGAAAGAUUUAAGUACAGGGACGCUUUAGAAGUGAUGUUGCCGGGCGAUGGUUGACCCGGUCGUAAGGGAUCGAAAAUGAGUAGAGAAGUCAUCAUGGAAAGAGACAAGAAAAGCUGUAUGGAUAUCUUAGGUGCCCGUACCGCAAACCGACACAGGUAGAUAGGAAGAAGAUUCUAAGGCCAACGGGAGAAGGGUUGUUAAGGAACUCGGCAAGUUGACCCCGUAACUUAGGGAUAAGGGGUGCUCAAGUGAUUGAGCCGCAGAGAAUAGGCCCAGGCGACUGUUUAGCAAAAACACAGGUCUCUGCUAAAUCGAAAGAUGACGUAUAGGGGCUGACACCUGCCCGGUGCCGGAAGGUUAAGAGGAGAUGUGAGAGCAUUGAAUUGAAGCCCCGGUAAACGGCGGCCGUAACUAUAACGGUCCUAAGGUAGCGAAAUUCCUUGUCAGGUAAGUUCUGACCCGC
rnacentral:rRNA from 1 species